rnacentral:rRNA from 1 species
AGCGAACGCUGGCGGCAGGCCUAACACAUGCAAGUCGAACGGAGCCUUCGGGACUAGUGGCGGACGGGUGAGUAACACGUGGGAACGUGCCCUUUGGUUCGGAACAACUCAGGGAAACUUGAGCUAAUACCGGAUGUGCCCUUCGGGGGAAAGAUUUAUCGCCAUUGGAGCGGCCCGCGUCUGAUUAGCUGGCUGGUGGGGUAAAGGCCAACCAAGGCGACGAUCAGUAGCUGGUCUGAGAGGUUGAUCAGCCACAUUGGGACUGAGACACGGCCCAAACUCCUACGGGAGGCAGCAGUGGGGAAUCUUGCGCAAUGGGCGAAAGCCUGACGCAGCCAUGCCGCGUGAAUGAUGAAGGUCUUAGGAUUGUAAAAUUCUUUCACCGGGGACGAUAAUGACGGUACCCAGAGAAGAAGCCCCGGCUAACUUCGUGCCAGCAGCCGCCGUAA